CCUACGGGUGGCUGCAGUGGGGAAUAUUGGACAAUGGGCGAAAGCCUGAUCCAGCCAUGCCGCGUGUGUGAAGAAGGCCUUCGGGUUGUAAAGCACUUUCAGUGGGGAAGAAAGCCUUGGGGCUAAUACCCUCGAGGAAGGACAUCACCCACAGAAGAAGCACCGGCUAACUCCGUGCCAGCAGCCGCGGUAAUACGGAGGGUGCGAGCGUUAAUCGGAAUUACUGGGCGUAAAGCGCGCGUAGGCGGUCUGAUAAGCCGGUUGUGAAAGCCCCGGGCUCAACCUGGGAACGGCAUCCGGAACUGUCAGGCUAGAGUGCAGGAGAGGAAGGUAGAAUUCCCGGGGUAGCGGUGAAAUGCGUAGAGAUCGGGAGGAAUACCAGUGGCGAAUGCGGCCUUCUGGACUGACACUGACGCUGAGGUGCGAAAGCGUGGGUAGCAAACAGGAUUAGAUACCCGGGUAGUC
rnacentral:rRNA from 1 species